rnacentral:lncRNA from 1 species
UCCCAUCUCACUUUUUUCUCCUAUUCCAUGAAAGUUUCUCUCAAGCUUCCAUCAUUCUCUCAAACAAACCCUAAUUUUCGUGCUUUACACACCCUAUUGUAGGGUUUUUAAUACUCUUUUACUCCUUCACCCCUUCACCUUAAACAAACCCUUAAAAGUUUUUCUUCAAUACUUUCUCUCACCAGCUGAACUUUGUAGAAAGAGAAAAAGAGGUUUCAUGAUAGUUUAAGGACUCUUGGGAAGAAAUUUCAUUACCAUCCACCAAGGUGAGUGAUGAAUUAAGAUUGGUUUUAAGUUAUUGAUGAUGACUAAUAAUUAAAGUUAUGAGUUGUGUUAUUUGCUGAAAUUGUUUAUCUAUUUUUAGUGUUACUAAAGUAGAGAAACGGAAUAGCCAAUCAAAUGGUAAUUGAAAGGUAGAUAGGAAGAGCUAUUGAAGCUUGAAUUGGGAAAUAGCUUUUGGAGUGAUAUUAAUGUAAAUUGGAUUGGCUACGAUGUUUCUGUGCAUGAUAGGUUCCAACAAGGCCCCUCAACCCCAUUUGGACCAUUACGAAAGUUAGAGUCGAUUAAAGGUUCAACAAUUACUAGUGAGUGAAUUUGCAUUAAAAGGUUUUGGGAUAUACACAUAUAUGUUGAUUGAAUCCCUUAAAACAUUUUACUUGGUUUUUUCUUCAAAACUUGCACGGGAACAAGCCCUUGUGAAAUGUUUUUAUGUUAUGAAAUGGAUUGUGUGAUGAAUUCAUAUGUUUCUAUAUAAUGUUGAUAUAUAUAUAUACUAUGUCAUAAAUGGUACCAUUGUGUGACAAAUGCAAUCGUGCAUGUGCGGGGUGAGUGUGCACUUGCCAGUGAUGACAGUGGUUAGAGAGAUGAAUGGUGAUACUGCCCAUGUGCACAAUGUGGGGGGAUGCACACGAUGGCAUUAACUGUGCAUGAUGUGGGGGGAUGCACACGAUGACUCUGGCUAUGUGCACGAUGUGGGGGGAUACACAUGAAUUGGUUGAGAUGGGGUGUCCCGUUAUGUGCACGAUGUGGGGGAUGCACAUGAGUUGGAUAAGAUGGGGUGGUUGUCAAGCCCUACUAUAUUAUAUACUUUUCAUGUCAUUCAUGUACUUGAUAGCAUAUCUACAUACUGGGAUACCUCAAAGAAUCAUUAAAAGUCGGCAUCGUACCUAGUGGUACAAUUAAGUCGAUUAAAACCUCGAACUAGUUUGAAUAGAGAUUUUAGGAUAUAUUUUAGAGUUAUUGAACGUUAGACUAUCUCAAUAUGGUGAUUCGGAGUUCGAGGAUUAAUUUGGAGUCAAAUUAGGAAUUUUCAUAACAUAGGGGCAAAAUGGUCAUUUUACCACCCGAGGGCAAAAUGGGAAUGUUUGAUGAAAUUUUUGACCAAGUUUGACUAAUUGGAGAAUGAUUUGAAUUUGAGAAAUGAAAAAUUUUAAUUUCGACAUUUUUCCGAACAUAAGGGCAAAAUAGUCAUUUUACGUGUCGAUAAGGACGUAAUUGAAAUUUUUGGAAUUUUACACCACCAUAACACUUGUCAAGCCCAUGAAUUUUACCUAUUAUUAUUUUAUACUUUGGAUAAUUAAGAGAUUACAUAUGGUGGUGAGAAAAUGCUUAAUUGUUAAGUUUUAACCAUGGACCAAUCACAUGGUGACACACGUCAAGUUUUAAUAUUUUUAUAAUUUCCUUUAUAAAGUCAACAUAAACUCUCCCAUUUCACUCUUCAUGGCUGGCCAAAGCAAUGAUCAAAGAGAAAAGAAUAGAAACAAACCCUAGAGAGGAAAAUUCAAGAGAAAUUUAUUGAAUUUCAAAGAACAAAGCAAUCAAUGGUAAGAUUUUUCAAUUUUAGCUUAAAAUCUACCUUUCCCAUGCUUUCUUUUUCAUUUUCUAUGGUUGAAACACAAGUUUCCAUGAGAGAAUACUUGUUGGCCAAACAUAGGGAGAGAGGUUUUGAUGAUGGAUUUUGCUAGAUUUCAUGAUAUCUUAGUGUUUUUAGUUGUUUGAUGAUGUUUGGCAUGAAAAACAAGCAAGAAAAUCACAUGCCCUUCAACAACCCUUUUUGGCCAAAUGUUAUAAAUGACAUGUUGAUGAUGGAUUUUGUUGUAUUUCAUGUUAUUUAGCUCGUAAUUGAUGAUUUAUGUCAUCGGAUAUCAAAAACGGCUAUCGAAAAGUAUAGUUCCUUUAGUAAACGACUUGAACAAUAAUGAGAAAAUCAUAGUAAAUGGACUUGGAUUUGAUUCCUAAUGAUGUAGAUGGAUUUAUUGGACUAUGUUAACACUGAUUAGCACAUUAGUUCAAAAUCAGAAUGAAUUUCGAUUUUGAUGAAUUAAGUCACAAUCAAGCUUAUUGAGGUACUUUGGUGUAUUUGGAAUAUUGGAAGUGUAAUGAAUAUAUUUGAAGUUGAAUUAGAUGUUUUGGUUAAUUCAACAGUGUAUAGUUCAAGUUAGGUCGAAUACAAAUUAAGUUCGAUCAUAAUUGAACCCAUGUAGAACACCGUCCUUAUGUGAUUAUUCGAACAAUUCUCAUUCAAUGUCAUGCAUUCAUAUAGAGAUUGAAAUAGUUUUAUAACAGUUUGGCUCAAAUAUAUUGAAUUAUGUGUUGUGUAUUAUGUAUAGGUGGUGAGCCCUCUAAUAAGGGUAAAAAUAUUGUACCCGAGGACCAAGAAUAGGAGUACUCGAAAUUUCCAUUAUUGUGAGUAAUCAAAUGUUCAUCUUAACUAUCUAAAGUAGUUUAUACUCAUUUUUAUGAUUUUAAAAAAUAAUGAACUUAAACCGUAGAUUUUUAUGUUUUAUAAGUUAAGUGUUGGCUAAAUGAAUGAGAUUUAUAAAUUAUUUUGCAAUUCAAUGAUGAUUUUGGAAAUUGAGUAGGUGGAGACUAUAUACUUGUGUUAUCUAUAUAUAUAUAUAUAUAUGGUUUGAAUUAAUGGCUUAUGACAAUGUGAUGGCAUGAAUGGCUGGAUUUGUGGUUUGUGGAUUAUAUAAACUGUUUUGUUUUACCUUAACAGGCUGGGUAAUAUUGUAUUAGCCAUGUCAUGCUGUCGAAAUUUUUAUUGAUUUGGUGGGUUAUUUAAUUAGCUUACUACAGUGGGUAGGUUUCCAUGGACCAGCCUAUUAGAGGGGCACGGUAAACCCCGUUAUAUUUUACCUUAGUAUGAGAGGUGCGGAGGGUAUCUCCUAAGGUAAGUUUAGAGUUCACUUCACGCCGAACCACCACGUGAGGAUGAAACUCAGCCAACGCCAAGGAAUGACUAUAUUUUAAAAGUAAAAACAUGUUUUAUGGGUAUAUGUUGUUUUAAUAUCCUUGGCGAACUCGGUUGGAUGCCCGGGCCAAGGUUUCACCGAGUAUGAGUUUUGACACAAGCCAAGUUUUUAAGAGAAUCAUAAGCCUUGUUGAUUGUUUCGAUGAAAUGUAAUUGUUUUAUAUGAAUUGAAAUGAGUUUUAAAUGUUAUGAAUCAUAUUAUGAUGGGAUGAUUUAAUUGUCUCAAUUUACGUAGCUUUAGAUGUUGUAGAUAAACUUUGCUUACUCAGUGGGUUUACAAAAACUCACCCCUUUCUUUUUACCCAUUUCAGGCUCAAGAUAGUAUGUAGACAGUCGAUUUUGUCGAGGGUUGCUUUUGGAUUAGCAUCCUUAGAAAUCGAAGGUCUACAGUCUUGUAUAUUUUCGGUUAUUUUGGAGCCCACAUGUCAUUGUAAAAUAUUUUUGUAUACUUGGUUUAGUGUGCUAUUAUAUAUAUGAAUUUAUUUUGCUCUUGCGCUACAAAAUUUGUUUAUGUAGGAUUCUAUAAAUAUUGUUUUAUAAGAAAAUGAAAUAUUUUAUUUAAUGUUUUAUUUAGUUUGAUUAGCCAUAAUUUCAUUUUAAAUGGAUGAUCUAGAUUACUAAAAUUUUUUUUAGAUAAGAAAUGUAUAUUUUUCUAUCGUAUAUUGUAUUUUCACCAAGUUUCAAAAUUUUUGGAAAAAAAGGACCAAAAUACAGCUAUGUGGUAGAAAUUACUUUUUGUUUAUUUUUUAUUUAAAAAUAGUUUAUAUUCCCUUAAAAGAUGAUAUUUAGUAUUUGUUGCUCAUAGGGGACUCGUAAAAUUGAUGCAAGAGCCUUGCGAGGUUUUGGUUGACAUUUCGAGUAAUGAAUGUCUAUCGAGACAUCGCGAUGGUUGUCAUGGGCUUGAAGGGAGUACCGGGUCGUGACAGUGGUAUAUGAAUUGGUAUAUGUUUAAG